rnacentral:tRNA from 1 species
GGAGCUAUAUCGGGGAGCAUUGGAGUGGGCUCGAGAUUAGUGGAUGGCGGGUAGUUGUCUUGGCCUAGACUUCU